GGGGGGGGCGGGGGGCGGGGCGGGUGCAGGCAGGGCGGGCGGACAGAUGGGGGGCUUGCUCCUCGGGCGUUAGCGGCGGACGGGUGGGUGACACGUGGAUAACCUACCUAUAAGACUGGGAUAACUUCGGGACACCUGAGCUAAUACCGGAUCAUAUAUUGAACCGCAUGGUUCAAUAGUGAGAGACGGUUUUUCUGUCCCUUAUAUAUGGAUCCGCGCCGCAUUAGCUAGUUGUUAAGGUAACGGCUUACCAAGGCAACGAUGCGUAGCCGACCUGAGAGGGUGAUCGGCCACACUGGAACUGAGACACGGUCCAGACUACUACGGGAGGCAGAAGUAGGGAAUCUUCCGAAAUGGGCGAAAGCCUGACGGAGCAACGCCGCGUGAGUGAUGAAGGUCUUCGGAUCGUAAAACUCUGUUAUUAGGGAAGAACAAAUGUGUAAGUAACUAUGCACGUCUUGACGGUACCUAAUCAGAAAGCCACGGCUAAAUACGUG
rnacentral:rRNA from 1 species